rnacentral:rRNA from 1 species
AGAGUUUGAUCCUGGCUCAGGAUGAACGCUAGCGGCAGGCUUAACACAUGCAAGUCGAGGGGCAGCAUAAUGGUAGUAAUACUAUUGAUGGCGACCGGCGGACGGGUGCGUAACGCGUAUGCAACCUACCCUUUACAGGGGGAUAACACUGAGAAAUCGGUACUAAUACCCCAUAAUAUUCCGGGAGGCAUCUUUCGGAGUUGAAAGCUUUGGUGGUAAAGGAUGGGCAUGCGUUGUAUUAGCUAGUUGGUAAGGUAACGGCUUACCAAGGCGACGAUACAUAGGGGGACUGAGAGGUUAACCCCCCACAUUGGUACUGAGACACGGACCAAACUCCUACGGGAGGCAGCAGUGAGGAAUAUUGGUCAAUGGACGCAAGUCUGAACCAGCCAUGCCGCGUGCAGGAAGACGGCUCUAUGAGUUGUAAACUGCUUUUGUACGAGGGUAAACUCACCUACGUGUAGGUGACUGAAAGUAUCGUACGAAUAAGGAUCGGCUAACUCCGUGCCAGCAGCCGCGGUAAUACGGAGGAUCCAAGCGUUAUCCGGAUUUAUUGGGUUUAAAGGGUGCGUAGGCGGUUUGAUAAGUUAGAGGUGAAAUCCCGGGGCUUAACUCCGGAACUGCCUCUAAUACUGUUAGACUAGAGAGUAGUUGCGGUAGGCGGAAUGUAUGGUGUAGCGGUGAAAUGCUUAGAGAUCAUACAGAACACCGAUUGCGAAGGCAGCUUACCAAACUAUAUCUGACGUUGAGGCACGAAAGCGUGGGGAGCAAACAGGAUUAGAUACCCUGGUAGUCCACGCAGUAAACGAUGAUAACUCGUUGUCGGCGAUACACAGUCGGUGACUAAGCGAAAGCGAUAAGUUAUCCACCUGGGGAGUACGUUCGCAAGAAUGAAACUCAAAGGAAUUGACGGGGGCCCGCACAAGCGGAGGAACAUGUG